rnacentral:rRNA from 1 species
GACGAACCGUGCAACGUUGUUCGGAAUCACUGGGCUUAAAGGGCGCGUAGGCGGGCCAGCCAGUCUGUGGUGAAAGCCCCCGGCUUAACCGGGGAAGUGCCGUGGAUACUGCUGGCCUCGAGGAGGAUAGGGGCAUCUGGAACGGUCGGUGGAGCGGUGAAAUGCGUUUGAUAUCGAACCGGAACUCCGGUGGCGAAAGGCGAGGUGCUGGGUCCUUUCUGACGCUGAUGCGCGAAAGCCAGGGGAGCAAACGGGG